UCGAGGACGAUAGUCGCACGACCUGAGCCAUCUGCUGGGCCUCUAUCACCUCCGAGAGGGAGUUAUGCAUGCCCAAUUGUAGGAGCUUCUCGGUGCUAGUGUGG
rnacentral:pre_miRNA from 1 species